GAUGAACGCUAGCUACAGGCUUAACACAUGCCAGUCGAGGGGAAACGACAUCGAAAGCUUGCUUUUGAUGGGCGUCGACCGGCGCACGGGUGAGUAACGCGUAUCCAACCUGCCCAUCACUUGGGAAUAACCUUGCGAAAGUAAGACUAAUACCCAAUGAUAUCCCACGAAGGCAUCGGAAUGGGAUUAAAGAUUUAUCGGUGAUGGAUGGGGAUGCGUCUGAUUAGCUUGUUGGCGGGGUAACGGCCCACCAAGGCAACGAUCAGUAGGGGUUCUGAGAGGAAGGUCCCCCACAUUGGAACUGGGACACGGUCCAAACUCCUACGGGAGGCAGCAGUGAGGAAUAUUGGUCAAUGGGCGAGAGCCUGAACCAGCCAAGUAGCGUGCAGGAAGACGGCCCUAUGGGUUGUAAACUGCUUUUAUAAGGGAAUAAAGUGGGUCACGUGUGACUUUUUGCAUGUACCUUAUGAAUAAGGACCGGCUAAUUCCGUG
rnacentral:rRNA from 1 species